rnacentral:tRNA from 1 species
GGAGGGGUGGCAGAGCGGUUGAAUGCACUGGUCUUGAAAACCAGCGAUGGUUAACGCCGUCCGAGAGUUCGAAUCUCUCCCCCUCCGCCA